AUGGUGGCGGCGGGGCCUCGGUUGCCCUGCCUCUGCAUGGGGAACCCCGGAUCUGGAGCGGCGACUCCAUUGGUAAGGCACGGCCGGCUAGCAGGCGUGCGAGUGGUGGAUCUAGCGCCCCGAUCGCGCGGGCGGCGGGAUCCGGUGGUCAUUGGUGGCCGGCGGCGGUCGGUGCGGCGAUCUGGUGCCUUCCCUCCUUCCCUGUUCGGGCCGCGUUUCCUCUUGGUCGCCGGUUCUGUACAGGAGGCGCUGCUGGCGGCGGGGAUCUAG
rnacentral:rRNA from 1 species